CGCGUAGGCGGACCUGCAAGUCAGAUGUGAAAUCUCGGGGCUCAACCUCGAAACUGCGUCUGAAACUACAGGUCUAGAAUCUCGGAGGGGGAAGGGGAAUUUCGCAUGUAGGGGUAAAAUCCGUAGAUAUGCGAAGGAACACCAGAGGCGAAGGCGCCUUCCUGGACGAGUAUUGACGCUGAGGCGCGAAAGCGUGGGGAUCAAACAGGAUUAGAUACCCUGGUAGUCCACGCUGUAAACUAUGAACACUAGGUAUUGGAGGAUUUGACCCCUUCAGUGCCGUAGCUAACGCGUUAAGUGUUCCGCCUGGGAAGUACGGUCGCAAGACUAAA
rnacentral:rRNA from 1 species